UACGUAGGGAGCAAGCGUUGUCCGGAAUCAUUGGGCGUAAAGCGCGCGUAGGCGGCCCUGUAAGUCCGUUGUGAAAGUCAAAGGCUCAACCUUUGAAAGCCGAUGGAUACUGCAGGGCUAGAGUCCGGAAGAGGCGAGUGGAAUUCCUGGUGUAGCGGUGGAAUGCGCAGAUAUCAGGAGGAACACCAAUAGCGAAGGCAGCUCGCUGGGACGGUACUGACGCUAAGGCGCGAAAGCGUGGGGAGCGAACGAGG
rnacentral:rRNA from 1 species